UACUGAGAAUGUUCUAGGGCUCUGAGUAUCUCUUGUAAAGGAGAUCUGGCAGGAGGCUGGGAUUGCAGGAGGCCAACAUCCUGCCUUUAAAACUCCACGGGAGGACCGGGCCAGGCCACGCUGCUGCAGGCGGAGCCACCUGCAAGUCCACGGGAGGACUGGGACAGGCCACACUGCUGCAGGCGGAGCCACCUGCAAGACCACAGGAGACAUGAGUCUUCAGCAAAAGACGCUUCCCUGUCCACGGCAGCUGGUGACGGCACCAUGAACUUCCACACGGUUUCCAGAGGCAGCUUGGAACCCUGACAUCAACCUCGUCCCUGGGAGCAGCACAGAUCGUGGACAUCAACAUGGAGUAUCCUCCCUGUUCUGUGCUGGAAUGGUGGCUUGUUUUGUAUGCAUUUUUUUUAAUAUGUACAAUCUUCUUGUAGAGCUCAGGUCGGUCUCAAGUGAGCAACCCUCCUACUUCUGCCUCCUGAUACUGGGGUAACAUACACUACCACCGUUCCCAACAAAAGAUUGAUUGAAUCUCUUGUCCGCACAGAUUCUUCAUUAGGAAGUCUGACAGGGAAGAAAGGCAAUGACCCAACUCUGUUUGGGGAGAUCUGGGUCCUCCACCAGGAAGAAGGUGCGUGAAACAGAGGGUCUAAGCUGGAAUCCGCUGCCUCACCCAUGUAUCUGGCACUUGAUGGCUGGACAUGUCUACUCACGGUCUCUCAGUGGAGUCUCUUUUCAGAACUAUUUGGACUUCCGAACAUAGCAGCUGGCUUCCAAGAACCAGCGUCCCCAGAGAUGAGGGCCAGAGGCAUGUGAGAUAUUUCUGUCCAGGCUCGAGGUCUCAUGUUAAAAUCGGAAUGUGGGGUGAGAUGAUGUAUUGCAGUCGUCUUUGGAAGAUCAUAAUAAACAGCCGUAGAUUUGA